rnacentral:rRNA from 1 species
UGCAAGUCGAACGAGUUCUGAUUAUUGAAGGGUGCUUGCAUCUUGAUUUAAUUUUGAACGAGUGGCGGACGGGUGAGUAACACGUGGGUAACCUGCCCUUAAGUGGGGGAUAACAUUUGGAAACAGAUGCUAAUACCGCAUAAAUCCAAGAACCGCAUGGUUCUUGGCUGAAAGAUGGCGUAAGCUAUCGCUUUUGGAUGGACCCGCGGCGUAUUAGCUAGUUGGUGAGGUAACGGCUCACCAAGGCAAUGAUACGUAGCCGAACUGAGAGGUUGAUCGGCCACAUUGGGACUGAGACACGGCCCAAACUCCUACGGGAGGCAGCAGUAGGGAAUCUUCCACAAUGGACGCAAGUCUGAUGGAGCAACGCCGCGUGAGUGAAGAAGGCUUUCGGGUCGUAAAACUCUGUUGUUGGAGAAGAAUGGUCGGCAGAGUAACUGUUGCCGGCGUGACGGUAUCCAACCAGAAAGCCACGGCUAACUAC